AACGAACGCUGGCGGCAUGCCUAACACAUGCAAGUCGAACGAGACCUUCGGGUCUAGUGGCGCACGGGUGCGUAACGCGUGGGAACCUGCCCUUAGGUUCGGAAUAACUCCCCGAAAGGGGUGCUAAUACCGGUUAAUGUCUUCGGACCAAAGAUUUAUCGCCUUUGGAUGGGCCCGCGUUGGAUUAGCUGGUUGGUAGGGUAAAAGCCUACCAAGGCCACGAUCCAUAGCUGGUCUGAGAGGAUGAUCAGCCACACUGGGACUGAGACACGGCCCAGACUCCUACGGGAAGCAGCAGUGGGGAAUAUUGGACAAUGGGCGAAAGCCUGAUCAAGCAAGGCCGCGUGAGUGAUGAAGGCCUGAGGGUUGUAAAGCUCUUUUACCCGGGAUGAUAAUGACAGUACCGGGAGAAUAAGCUCCGGCUAACUCCGUG
rnacentral:rRNA from 1 species